UCUCCCUCGACGUCUGGGACCCCUUCAGGGACUUUCCCUUCCCUUCCUCCUCCCUCACCGCCGCUAACUUCCCCCAGACGUUCCGGGAGAACGCCGCCUUCGUGAACACGAGGAUCGACUGGAAGGAGACCCCGGAGGCCCACGUGUUCCGGGCGGAUCUCCCCGGGCUCAAGAAGGAGGAGGUCAAGGUGGAGAUCGAGGAGGAUCGGGUGCUCCAGAUCAGCGGCGAGCGGAACAUGGAGAAGGAGGACAAGAACGACACCUGGCACCGGAUGGAGAGGAGCAGCGGCAAGUUCAUGAGGAGGUUCAGGCUGCCGGAGAACGCGAGGAUGGAUCAGGUGAAGGCCUCGAUGGAGAACGGGGUGCUGACUGUCACUGUUCCCAAGGUGGAGGAGAAGAAGCCCGAGGUCAAGGCCAUCGAGAUCUCCGGUUGAGAGGUGGUGAAUCUACGGUCGGCGCUGCGACCUGUGUAUACAUAUGCAUAUAGAGUGCCUGUGUGUGCCGUCUGCUGUGUGGCUUUUGCGUGUCCUGAGUUGGGAGUCGCGGUCUAUGGCGAUGUCUGAUAUGGCAAUGUUAAAUAACUACAGUGACUCUCUACUUGUAAUGAGAUCUGAGAUAUUAUGUAAUAUAUAGUAACUUCUACUUUUUGUGAUAUCGGUUCCUCAAAUUCUUUCGGUUUUUUCACCUUUCCAUUUUCCUAUUGCACUGAAUUUGCCUACUACUGCUUUGUUCCAAGGGAGUUCAAUUGGUUCGUUCUUUUUGCAACGAUUAAUUCAAUUUGUUGGAAGGAUUCCUCGGAUGUGCAAGUGCUGUACUCGUUGCGAUCAUUUUUAGAAUUGGGUUUGCGGUACCCACAAAACAUUGUACUCAUGAGCUCGGCGCGAGCUGCAGGGUGUCAGAUAACAGGAGCAGUUAUCCCAACAAGCUUUUCAAUUUCUGCAUGAUCAUCAUCGGAUCAGAGAUCGAGUUCUCUAGUUCUUCUAUUGUAGUGUGUGAACAAGCACCUUUCUUGAUGCUCAAGCUCGACUUACUGUCUUGUCUUUGAAAGCUGUGUCUCUUAGCCUCAUCUCUUUCCCUUCCUCCCCCAUCAACCAUCAGUCUUCCUUGCUGCUUUUGACAUAUUAUAUAUUAAAAAUAUUUUUAUAUAUAAAUACAUAAAUGAAUAAAUAAUAAUAAUAAAAAGAACAUAAAAUUAUUUUAUUUUAAAAAUAUUAAUUCAAUAUUAUUUAUUAUUUUAAUUUGAUAAAUUCAAUUAUAUUCUAUUGCAAUAAUUCAUAAAAUUUGGAAGGAAAAAAAAGUAAGAGAAAAUCUCAAAUAAGAAUACAAAGUUUUGUUCAAAAAAAAAAAAAAAAAAUAAGAAUACAAAGUGAGUUUAUUUUUUCAAAUAAAAUUUUAAAGUGACAUUUGUUCCAAAUAAAGAUCCAAAGUGGCUAACAAGUCUCAAAUAAGGAUCUGAAUUUGUCAUUCGGUGAAAAUGUUUACCGGCUAGCGAGUGUGUGACAUUUUCGGUGGCCGAAAUAUGAGCAAUUUUGUCUAAAAAAAAUAUAGAUAGAAAUUAACAAAUCAUAAAAACAAAACUCCACAAACUCUUCACGUUCUUUCGACCUAAAAAAAACUCCACAUUCUCAUGUUUUUCUUCUUUUGCUCUUCAUCUUCUCUGUUCUUUGUCCUCUCUCGUUUGGAGCACCGAAAUUUUCUGUUAAUGGAACACGAAUUGAAACACAACAAAAAAACCCCUACCUUCGUUUCUUUACAUAUUCUUCUUUUGUUUUUAGUCUUCGUUUCAACGAAAAAGACAAAUCUCGAGUAAGCCAAGGAUCUUGCUCCAUUAACAGAGAAUUUGGCUUCUCCAAACGAGAGGGGACAAAGAACAUAACGUAAAAGAUGAGGAGUAGAAGAAGAAGAACGUAAAGAGUAUGGGGGUUUUGUUUUUAAGUUUUGUUAAUUUCUAUCUAUAUUUUUUUUGGACAAAAUUGCCCGGAAAUGUCAUAUGCUCAUCGGCCGGUGAACAUUUUGGCCGGCCGGUAGGUUUAGGUUUUUAUUUGAGACUUAUUAGCCACUUCAGGUCAUUAUUUGGAAUAACAAUUAUUUCGGGUCAUUAAUUGAGAUUUCCCAAAAAGUAAUUCAAGUUUUAGUAUUAAAUUUAGGGAUAUAUGCGGUAUAAGUUUUAAAAUUUAUCGUGAAAGUAUAAUUGAAUUUUAAAAUUGAUCAAAUUGGUACAAUCAAGUCUUUUUGUUGAUAUCGUCAAUUUGUUUAACAAAAAAUCUUGAAGAAGAAUUUUUAAAUUAAUUUAUUUAUCUUAUGUGGUAUUUUUUAUUAUUUUUUCUUUAAAUCUUAUUUAAAGAAUAGUAAUUAUUUUUAUUAAAAAAGCUAAAAUAAUUCUUAACCUGAAAAAAAAAAGGUAGGUUAGCUGCUUGGUUGGAUAGGCGACUGCCACCGUGGAGGGGGUCGGCGAGAUCGGUGGCCCUAGGUGAUGGUGGGUGGCAACUUGUGGUGGAGUUGGGGGGCCUUGCAAGGCCUCGCCGGCCUCGAGCGAGGGCAUGGCAUCGCCCAGAUUUGGGCGAGCCUCACUCGGGCCUCUAAGGCAUCGCUUAGAUCUAGGCGAGCCUUGCUGGCCCUUGCUUGAUUGGUGAUGGCUUCGCUUGGGCUGGCGAGAUGGCCCACCCGCCACUUAGGGCCAGUACUUCGAUAGUGGUAGCGGCGCCAAUCUACCCCUUUUUUUUAUAUAUUUAUUAUUUGAUCUCUCAAGUAUUGAAAAAUUUUAAAAUUGACCCCAUGCGUAUUAGAAUUCCGGAUUUGCAUAUUGGAGCUUGUCAGGGAGAGUUGACCACAGUUGGAUUUUUCCAAACUCAUUGAUCGCAUGUUGGAGCGUAGGACAUCACACAAAGGCUUUUGGAAAGUGUCGCUACUUCUUAGAUUCCACCUGAGUCCAAAAGCCUGGAAACUUCCUCCUGCAGAGCCCAUCUCACUACGCGACCAGUUUCUCUGAUUGUCUCUUUGAACCCUUCCGGUAACAGCUCGAAUCCACUCUGAGCCUCUGACCAUGCCAGUCCGACCAUCCACAAGAACGUUGCUGUUCGCCAGCCCCCAGCCGUUUCUGCAAACUCUACCUGAGCCAUUUUGAAGCCAAGAUUCCUAAGCUCACACGUGUAACUGAAUAUUUGCUUGCUUAUCAAGCCCCAAGAGGCAACCGGUUUCUUCCCCUAAUAUGCUGGUUGUGUUGGAGUCAACGCCUAAUAUGAAAAUAAGAUAAGUUCUAGUUGGACUUUGCCUCUGAUGUGCCGACUUAUUCCAGUGAGAAUGCUGGAUAUUCAAAAGCGGUGAGUGAAACCAAAAGUGAAGAACUCUUGGUCAAAAAGCAGAGGAACCGCCUCUGUCUCUCUGUCUGUCUAGAUUUGUCUCUUGUCCUCCAGAAGCCGCAAGUUGCUAGAGAAGAAAGUCAAAAGAAAAGUUGCAGCCCACAAUUGUUGACUCCUCAGCCAAGAAGAAAAUGAAAGUCCAUCAUGCAUGAAGUCUGGACGUGAGGCCGUGAAGUUUGAGCCUUCAAGUAAGGCUUGGCAGUGCCAACGUAAGGUAGGCCUCACAAGUCGAGAGAAGAAGAGAUUAAGAGAGAAAGAGAGUCUCGUCAGAGAGAAAGCAAGGUGUGAGCUUCACGCCAGAGAGGGCCUCAAGUCACCAGGUGCAAAGUACAUCAACGAAUCAUGAAUCACGCAAGAGAUUUUAUUGUUGCUCCUUCCUCUGCCAUCAUAUCUGAGAAUACUUGGUGGAGAGGUCCUUCACAGUUGGUGUUGAGUCUUGCUGCAAGAGCUAAGGGAACUCAGAGGAGAGGUCAUCCUUUGGUAAGCAGUGGGGAAAUAGAUAGGAAGAUAUAAUUGGGGAUACUGCACGGACCGGGAUGAUCGAAUUGAGUGUGACCUAUUCCAAUGGGGAAGCACUUGGAAUGCAGGACUGACCUCAAUUGAGCAUCGGGGUUAUGUGCCCUUGAAAGGAACAUCAGGACUUGCACCUAUCUACGAUUGCGUCUCCGUCCUCGUUCCUCCAUUGCUCUCAUCUGACCACAACCAGAGCCUGGGUCCUGGAUCAUUUGAGCAUACGAAAAGUAUUAUAUUCGGUACUGCGUCGAUUGCAUGUUAAGAAAAAUAAAGGAGACUUCUCUAGUUAUUUCGUGUUUCUUGCCUGGAUGGUAAAAUUGAAAGGGGCAUACAAAUCGAUUACAUCAUUGAAAGGUGACGGGAUUAUGGGAGAGCGACUUUCGUACUAUGAGACAUGUGGAGGAAACAAAACUACAUGAGAAUACCUGAAAUUUUGUUACCUUUCAUAUCUGGAUUUGCUCGUUCUUAUGUUAAAGCCAGCAGAGAUAAUUCCUCCUCUGGCAAGCUAGCUUCUUUCACCGAGGACUUCUGGUUAAUUUGACUUCCAUCCCAAAACUUGGUCUUAUCUCUUUGCAGAUUUUCACUAUUCCACUGGAGGCGACUCCUCCUAUCUGAUGGCAUUGAAAUCCACUGCUACCGACGUCACCAUAAGCUCGUUAUUGAUCCGAAAUGAAGUGAUUAUAACUCGGUUUUAACAUGAGAGUGCUUGAACCUUCUUAAAAAAAUUCAAAUCAAAGAAUUUUUUGGGAAUCCUACAACCAUAUUAGCCUAACAGAAAAAUCGUCUUGGAGCAGAGUCACGUACACAUAUGUAUUGUAGCCGACACGCACAACCUUAGGCGAGCUGAUAGAGCUUGUCUAUCCAAGAAAGCUAGAGAAAGCAUGACUUAGAAGCACAAGAGCUUCAAAGUCUGCAUUAUUUCAGAUAACUAGCUAUUUCUCGAGACAACUCAAGUGUAUCAAAGAAAUAUAAAGCUCCAUGAUUCAGUUGCUGUGAAAAUCGAAUUGAUCUGGAGGAUUCUCAUAUUCUUUUUUUUAUGAGAUGUGAAAUGAAAAACCUUGUCGUUAAGAUAAAGACCAAUUUUUAUGCUACUACUUCUUUCUUUUGUCAAAUGACAUGAGUGGUCUCUCGUGAUUGACUUAAGAAAGAAGGUUCAUCCUCAAAAUGUUGUCCCUGCAACAACAACAAAAACAACCGAGUCUCAUUCUGCUAAGUGAGGUCCAUCGUAUGAAUCCUAUUAUGCCAUUGCAUUUUAUCCUUUGUUAGAUUAUCUGUGAAAUAUAGAUAGUACCCUACUUAUCGUUGGGUUAGUGAUAUCUUUCAUUGUCAUUUCCUUCCACAUCUUUUUCUGGUUUCUCUUGUCCCUUUUAACAAUGGAUCCAAUCUUUAAUCUCACAUAGCGUCGUAGGGCACUUGAAAGCUUUCCUUCAACAUUACCAAACCAUCUUAAAUGGCCUUCCUCAUCUCAAAAUGCCUUUGAGAUGUUAUCUGUAGAAUGGUUAUGGUGAAAUCGACUUAUUACUUUUAUCUGCCUAUUAUCCUAUCUAAUUUCAAAUGUGUUAUGCUUUUGAUUUUGAUUGACUUGUUUUACUACGCGUUAUUACCACGUUAUGUAACCAAUAAUGACACAACUGUCACAUAAAACAUCUUCUCCACAUGUAAGGGAUGGGAAGAAGUAAUGAUAAUCAAUUGAAGAAUGAAAUUGUGGAUAGUGCAAUGGGAAAAAUGAGGUUCGGGUAAAGAUUAAUAUCAAUAACAAUCAUUAUCAAACUCUUUCCAUGAGUAAAAUAAUAUUUGGGAGAGAAAAAAAAUCGUUGGAACUACCAUGAUAUAAACAAUGACAUCUCACAACAAGGUUAUGUAACCAAUAAUGACGCGACCAUUACAUAAAACAUCAUCUCCACAUGCAAGGGAUGGGAAGAAGUAAUGAUAAUCAAUUGAAAUGAUUAAUAAGAAUGAAAUUGUGGAUAGUGCAAUGGGAAAAAUGAGGUCCAGGUAAAGUUUAAUAUCAAUAACAAUUAUUAUCAAACUCUUUUCACGAGAAAAAAGAUUAUUUGAGAGAUGGAAAAAAUUGUUGGAACUAUCAUAAUAUAAAGAAUGACAUCUCACAAUAGGGAUUAAGUAUGCGCAUUUGUUUCAACAUUUCAAAGGGUCCUCCAAAAGCUUUUGGGACGAAAUUGUUCCCUGAGCCGCAAGAGGUUCCAUGAUCUAGGCGCUUGCUCGACCUCUUCGAGGCUGCCAAACGAUUCGCUUUCCAGGCCUGCUUCCAAGAUAAUAUAUUUCCAUUCUCCAGUGGCCAUACCCCAUGGUUUUUCGUUUUUUUACCUUCAAAGCUACUUUGAAAAAUGCCCCAACCAAACCUUAUCUGCUCAAAGCAAAUAAUAGGCUUUGCGUCUUAAAGACACUCUCUCGAGAAUCUUCCAAAUGAACCCUAAAAACCCCAUUGCUAUGAGGUCAUUGGCCCAGUAUCUCCGUAUUAGCAGAAUGGCUAUAGUUUUGCUUUGGGAGAAGCUCCUCGAACCGCAUCUUUUGAUUAGCGGAAAAUAAACGCGAGCUGUAAUCAUGAUUUGGGAUCCAAUUAAAUUUAUUGGCUGGACGAAAUUUUAUUUAAUCAAUAAUAGAGGAAAUUAAGGGCGAUAACAAAAUAGAAAUUCAGAAUUCGUUUUAUCGUCUCAUGGGACGAGUUCGAGUUUUUUCUUUCCCUUACUGAAAAGAUCCUGACGAGGCCCAGUCCGAGGUUUCCAGAUGGACGGACCGGAUUCGCCAAAUCACUGGAACGUUCGUCCUAAAGACCGCGGGGGUACGAGAAUGCUCCUCCGUUUCCUAUUUAACACCCGACGCCACCACUUCCAAACCAUAUCGUCUGACGAUAGCAAUUCCUGUCUUAGUCCGAGCAUUCUGUCAAACGUUUCGUCGGCUCAAUCUCAUAUAUUCGCCGGUAAUCCCACAGCCAUGUCGCUCAUCCCAAGCUGGUUCGGCGGCCGCCGCAGCAACGUCUUCGACCCUUUCUCCCUCGACCUCUGGGAACCCUUCAAGGACUUCCCUUUCCCUUCCUCCUCCCUUUCCGCCUCUGAUUUCCCCCAGGCGUUCCGGGAGAACACUGCUUUCGUGAACACGAGGAUCGACUGGAAGGAGACCCCGGAAGCCCACGUGUUCAAGGCGGAUCUCCCCGGGCUCAAGAAGGAGGAGGUCAAGGUGGAGAUCGAGGACGAUCGGGUGCGCCAGAUAAGCGGCGAGAGGAACGUGGAGAAGGAGGACAAGAACGACACGUGGCACCGGGUGGAGAGGAGCAGCGGGAAAUUCAUGAGGAAGUUCAGGUUGCCCGAGAACGCGAGGAUGGAUCAGGUGAAGGCGUCGAUGGAGAACGGGGUGCUCACCGUGACUGUUCCCAAGGUGGAGGAGAAGAAGCCGGAGGUCAAGGCCAUCGAGAUCUCUGGUUGAGAGAUGGUGAAUCUGCGGCUGGCGCGACAACUUGUGUAUACACGUACACAGAGUGAGUGUCUGCGUGUGCUGUCUGCUGUGUGGCUUUCGCAUGUCCUGAGUUGGCCUGAGUUGGGAGUCUCGGUCCUCGUCUUUGAUAUGGCGGUGUAAUAGGUUGGAAAUAUGGCGAUGUGACAUAACUAUAGUAACCUGUUUUAUGUGAUAUCGGUUCCUCAAAAUCUUUCGGUUUUCUCGCCUUUCGCUUCCCCAUUCAGCACCGAAUUACGGCCUUGUCCCAAGGGACUUAAUUUAGUUCUUUUUUGGGAUGGUUAAUUCAUUCUCUUGGAAGAAUUCCUGUGAAGUGCAAGUGUUGUACUCGCAGGUUGUGAUCAUUUGUUUUUUUUUUUUUUUUCAAUUGGGUUUGGGGGUACCUGCAAAUUGCAUCGAGAGAAGCUGACAACUUUCGGGAUGAAACGAGGCUUAGAACCAUGAUUCUCCUUUUGAGCUCAGCGCGAGCUGCAGGGUUUCUUAUGCUGCAUUGUAUUGGGUUUGUCAGAUAACAUGACUAGAUAUCCCAACAAGUUUUUUAUUUCCGCUUGAUCGUCAUCAAAUCAGAGAUAACAAGAUCAGAUAUCCUUUCCUGAUGCUUAGCUCGAUUUCGUCUUUGAAAGCUCCGGGUUUCAUCCUCAUCUCUUCCCCAUCAACCAUGAGUCUCCUCACCGCUUGCUCCAUCUCUCUCUGGUUUAGAUCACCCUCCAACUCCAAUCCCACCAUUCAAACGUGGCACGGGUACCCUGCCUUCACAUUCUGGUCCCUACGGUUGGUGUAUCGUUGGGACUCCUUAGGAAAUAAUUUCCAAGGAACUAGUUCCAUCUGCAAAAGGUCCAAAAGCCUCCCGAGUUACGUGUGCUAAAACUUGCACCUCAUGAGCCCAUCUCGUAACACGGCCAAUUUUUGUUGGCUUUUUUGGACCCUUGCGCUAACAGCUCGAUCCACUCUGAGCCUCUGACUGAGCGAGGUCGGACCAGCCGGAAGAAUGCCACUCUUUGCCAGCCCCCAAGCCGUUUCUGCAAACUCUCCCUGAUCUAUUUUGAAGCCAAGCUUUCCUAAGCUCACAAGUAUAACUGAAUUAUGUGCUUGCUUAUCAAGCCACAAGAGGCAACUGGUUUCUUCCCUCUAUUAUACUGGUUGGCAAAGCCGGAGCAACUUUGUGCAGCGAGCCUGGUGAAAAAAAUGGCGCUCGUUAUUGUCUAUGGAGUUGGUCCGGUAACUGUUUCUCCAGGCAGUCCACUGUUCCAGAAAAUGCCUGAAGAUGCUCUGUUGUUAAUCAGGAUGGCUGCUAACUUCAUCAUGGGUUCUAAAUCGCCUGGUGAUACAAGUCCAUGCAUCUCGUGGGAUAAGCGCCUGGAAUAGUCUCAAUCGAUGUUGGACCUAAAGAGUCAAGGUGCUGCAGCUUAGCAUGUAUUGGUUCUACGACUUCAUAGUCUGAUAGAAAACAUAAAAACUUAUCCAAGAUUUGAAUAUUCCAGCAAGUCAAAAGAGAGAUACAACUUUUAUUCGAAUUUGAUACACUGUAGACUGCUUUCUUCCUUCCUAGUUGGAUUGCUCGACAUGAAUACGAGAGAAUAUGAUAUUAUAUGCAGUUUCAGCACGUGUGGUACUGUUGACUUCAAUUACAUGCCUCCUCUGUCCUCUGACUAAAGGAAGAGGUAAUGACUGGUUUAGACGGUGGGGCAACGGCUAUUGGAGCGUUUUACCUUCUGGAAACUGAGUCGCCCUAAAGACUUGGUAUGCUUACCUUUUCUUUGCAGCAAGAGCAUUUUACGAAAACACAGAGAGCCCCGUUAAAGUACUGCUUAAUGAGUAGUAGACGAUGAAAAUUGCAAGCCAAACUCAAAAUAUGUCUACAUGGACGAAUGAUGCAAGCUGUUGAGCGCAAUUCCUAUUUGAGUCACGCUGAUUAAUUGACUCUCUCUUUAGAUUGGCCAAGCAGUUUCUUUAAAUCUUGAAGAGACCCUCGCAGUGCUUUGGGAUAGCAAACAUAAUCAAGUCAGGAGCCUUUCCAGUUUAGUAGAGUACGACCAAAGAGAGCGCAUUCUUAACAUCCAAUCAGUACUGUGUGAUUGUUACUCUUGAUUUCUAGUGAAAUUCCUAUCGAGCUCCAUCACUGAGGUAAAGAAGGGUUUACUGCAAGUAUCAUUAUCUUAGAGUUUGUUGUGUAUGUUGAUAUCCGAGGGUUAAAGAUACCUUUUCAAGGAAAAUAACUUUUCUUUUGGAGCCAAGGGGGUUCAGAGAAAACCAGCAGAGUGCCCUACUACAAGAGCGCAAAGCAAUGCUAGGAAGUUCUAUAUGAUGAGCUGCCACCUAGCAAAGUACAUCAAUUCAAUCUUUUCCAGUUAAUUUUGGUCAAAUUUUGUUGACUAAAUAUCGAUCGGUUGACGUGAUACGAUCGACGCUGACGUGGAUAAUUUUUAAUAAUAUUUUAAUUUUUUUGGAUUUGAAUUUUACUUAAUUUUUCUUUUUCUUUUUUUUCAUUUUUUUUUCUUCUUCUCCUUCCUCUAGUCAAUCGUCAGACCUUUGGCAAUUGGCCAUCGGCAAGGCUUGAGCCCUCGCCAGAGGCUGUGAGGGCGAUCGACAAUCAGCCAGAGAAGACAGCUGGCGAGGUUGAGGAGGAAGGAGGGGCACAAAGAAAAAAGAAGAAAAAAGAAAAGGAAAAAAGAAAAAGAAAAAGAAAAAGAAAAAAAAGAAAAAAGAAAAGAAAAGAAAAAGGAAAAAAAUAUUAAAAUAUUAAAAUAUUAAAAUAUUAAAAUAUUAAAAUAUUAAAAUAUUAAAAUAUUAAAAUAUUAUUAAAAGUUGUUAACGUCAGCGUCAAUCGUGUCAUAUCCAAUGCUUAGUCAGCAAAAUCCGGCUAAAAUUAAUUGGAAAUUAUCGAAUUAACACAAAAUAAAAAUAUUUAAGACUAAAUUGGUAUUUAUAAAAUAUUUAGAAUUAAAUUAGCAUAAAUAUAAAAUGUUUAGGAUUUCUUGGACACUUUUCCCCCAAUAAACUUGAUUUAUAUUCAUGAUUUAGGAUUCAUUGAAUGUAAUUAGACAAAAUCUUAUUUAAUCAAGAAUAGAGGAAAUUAAGGGCGAUUACAAAAUAGAAAUAGAAAUCGUCAUUGUCGUAAUGUGACGGACCAGGUGUUUCCAGAUGGACCUACGGGAUUCGCCAUUUCACUUGAACGUUCGUCCGUCCGUCCGUUCGAGCGGGACUGGAAAGACCGCGAAGGUACUAGAAUGAUCCUCUCUUUCCUAUUUAACUCCACGACUUGUCUUCUAAGCUCCAUCGUCGAACGGUAGCAAUUCUCAUCAUCUUCCUUAAGCAUUCCAUCGAACACUUUCUCCGCUCGGUCUCGCAUUUUCACCGGUAAACCCAACAACCAUGUCGCUCAUCCCAAGCUGGUUCGGCGGCCGCCGCAGCAACGUCUUCGACCCUUUCUCCCUCGACCUCUGGGACCCCUUCAAGGACUUCCCUUUCCCUUCCUCCUCCCUCUCCGCCUCUAAUUUCCCUCAAACUGUCCGGGAAAAUACUGCUUUUGUGAACACGAGGAUCGACUGGAGGGAGACCCCGGAGGCCCACGUGUUCAAGGCGGAUCUCCCCGGGCUCAAGAAGGAGGAAGUCAAGGUGGAGAUCGAGGACGAUCGGGUGCUCCAGAUAAGCGGCGAGAGGAACGUGGAGAAGGAGGACAAGAACGACACGUGGCACCGGGUGGAGAGGAGCAGCGGGAAAUUCAUGAGGAGGUUCAGGCUGCCGGAGAACGCGAGGAUGGAUCAGGUGAAGGCCUCGAUGGAGAAUGGGGUGCUCACCAUCACUGUUCCCAAGGUGGAGGAGAAGAAGCCUGAGGUCAAGGCCAUCGAGAUCUCCGGUUGAGAGUCGGUGAAUCUAUGGUCCUCGUUACGACUUGUGUCUAUAUAUAGAGCAAGUAUGCUGUGCUAUGUGAGGGUUGGGAGGCUCGGUCCCAUGGUGUCUGAUAUAGCGAUAUGUUGUCCGCCGAUGACUCUUUAGUUGUAAUGAAAUUCGAAGUUACUAUUUUCUAACUUCUGUUUGAGGUGAUAUUGGUUGCUCAAAAGUCUUUUGAUUGUGUUUUGUUCGUGGGACGUUCCUUAUUUUUAUUUACAUACUGCUUCCGGGAGUUCAAUUAGUUUAAUUAUUUUUGGAUGAUUAAUUCAAUUUCUGGGAAGGAUACCUCCAAAGUGCAGGAUGGACUUUGCACAUCGUGAUCGUUUUUUCAGUUGGGUUUGGAGGUACCGGCAAUAUGGAGAAGCUGAUAAGUUUGGGAUGAAAACAAGCUAGAAACCACAUUACUCCUUUGGACUCAGAGCAAGGUUUGGGGUUCCUUCUGCUGCAUUGUAUCAAAUUUGUCAGGUAACAGGAUAAAAUAUUUGAUAUGGCCUUCAAUUUCUGUUCCAUCAUCAUCAGAUCAGAGAAAAAUGAUCAGAUUCACUGGUUCCUAUAUUGAGGCGUGCGAAGUAUCGCCUUUUCCGAUGCUCAUGUUGAUUUGGUCUUUGAAAGCCGCGGCUCUCAGCCUUAUCUCUGUCCCUUCCUUGCCAACCGUCAGCCUCCUCACAGCUUGCUCCAUCUCUUUCUGGUCUAGACCACACUCUAACUCCAAUCCCACCAUCCGAACGUGGCGCGAGUACCUCACCUUAGCAUUCUGGUCCCUGAAGCACGGUGGGCAUAUCAUUGGGACUCCUUUGGAAAUGAUUUCCAAGGUCGAAUUCCAUCUGCAAUGGGUCCAAAAGCUUCCUGUGGCACGGUGUGCUAAAACUUCCUCUAGAGCCCAUCUCGCAACACGGCCAGUUUCUUCGUUGGCUUCUUCGAACCCUUCUGGUAAUAGCUCGAUCCACUCUAAGCCUCUGUCUGAGCCAGGCCGGAUUAGCCACAAGAACGCUGCUGUUUGCCAACCCCCAAGCCAAUUCUGCAAACUUUCCCUAAUUCAUUGAAGCCAAGCUUCCUAAGCUCACAUAAAUAACUUAGGUAAAUUUGUAUGUAGAUUAAAAAAAAGUCUAUUUAUGAUUUUAAGCAAGCUUGUAGAUAAUGGUAUUUAAAGUUUCAUAGUGUUGUCAAAUAUAAAGUAUAUACUGUAUACAUUUUUUCGUACUUUAUGUAGAUGAUAUCUUACUUGCGAGUAAUGACAUUAGAUUAAUGGGACAAAAGUGGAUGUUAUCAAAAAAAUUUAACAUGAAAGAUCUUGGUGAUGCGUUUUUUGUUCUUGGCAUUGAGGUCCAUAUGGAUUGUUAUUGGGUUUGUUUUAGAGGGCAUAUGUUGAUCGUAUUUUAGAAAGAUUCAAUAUGCAUCAUUGCAAUCCGGGGUGAUAAGUUGAGUCUUUCACGAUAUCCUCGUUUAGAUUUUGAGAAAGUUCAAAUGAAUGAUGUACCUUAUGCUAGUAUGCUUGGAAGUAUCAUGUAUACUCAAGUUUACAUUAGACCAGAUUUAUUUUUGCGACAUGACUUCUAGGUAGAUAUUAGUCAAAUCUAGAAUGUGAUCACUGGGUUGUUGUCAAGAAGAUUUUAAGGUAUUUAAAGAGGACAAUAGAUUAUAUGCUGAUUUAUAGACAUGUUCCGAACUUACAACUAAUAGGGUAUUUGGAUGUAGAUUUUGCUGGUUGUUAAGAUGAUAUGAAAUCGACGGUGAAAUAUAUAUUUAUAUUGGCAGGAGGUGCAGAAAUCUAUAUAUUCUUCUACCAUGCAAAUAGAGUUUGUAGCAUGCUUUUCAGCUGCUAUUUAGGCGAUUUGGCUCUAGAAUCUUAUUAGGGAGUUAACUGUUUUUUAUUUUGUGGGUAGAGCUAUAUAGUUAUAAUAAUAAUAGAAGUCUCCAAAAGUCUAAGCAUAUGGAGGUCAAGUUUAUGACCAUAAAUGAAUCAGUACAGAAUAGUGGUGUUACAGUAGAUCAUAUUCCUACAGAUGAUAUGAUUGUAGAUCCAUUAACUAAAGACCUAUGCCCUUAUGUGUUUGAGUGAUAUGUCGUUAGCAUGGGUUUAGGAGUAUUUUGGGAUGUUGUUAUUUAGUGAAAGUUGUUUUUAUUUUUCUUUUAAUAAAGUUUAUAUUUGUGUUUUUUAUAUUUAGUAGCGUUUUGAUAUAUAUUAACAUUUGCAUUCAAUAAAAUAUUUUUAAAUAAAUUGUUAUUAUGUUGAAUAUAUAUUGAUAAAAGUCUUAAAUGUAUUAUAUAAACCUUAAGUGAAUGUUAAGGGCAUCGGGUUAUUAACCUUGAGUAUAUGUUUUAUCACACAUAAAGAAAUAUUAACUGUAAAGGCAAGGCAUAUGUGGGUUUACUAGAACCAUAAAAAUAUUUUCUAAUGGCAUAGAUUUUUGUGAUACUUAAAAUGAGAGAAUGGUGAUUGACAAAUGGGAUCUCUCUAUGAGAGAUGUUAUUCAUUUAUCACACUACCAUAUUAAAUCCAUAUCAAUAAAGUUAAAAGCACUCAUAAGCACUCGUGACCAUGAAAGGUUUUGUGUGUAUACAUGCAGCUCCUACCAUGAUUUGGUGUUUGAGACUUUAUAUGAUGUAAUUGACUAUUAAGAAUUAUCUCUUAAAUUAAUGCGCGCACAUACAAUACAAUUUCAAUUAAUAUAACUCAAGUGGAAGAGUAUAAAAGUUUUUCUAAUGUGGGUUACAUUAAUUAAUAUUGUAAUUUACCAUUUUUUGGGAUUGGUCUAAAGUGAGAUAGAAAGAUUUUUAAUUAAUUUAUAUGGGGCUAGUUAGUGUGGGUUAAGUUGAACUUGACUCGUAAUAAGAUGGCCUAGUUGGAACACUAUAGAUAGUCGUCAAGUCUCUCCUCUAACUCUAAUUUUCAUAAUUAUCCUCACAAAUGAGCAUUUACCUAACGCAAAAGGGUGAGGGGGUUGUCUCAUUGAGCCAAUGAUAUAGAGGGCAAAGAGGAGAAUGACUUGUGCUUGAAUCAUCGCUUUUUUGCUUUCGCAUCAAGAACGAUGAAUUCCAAAACAAGUGUAUUAAUUUUUUUACUUGAUUAUAUGUGUUUUUGUUCUAGUUAUGGAGAUAAUGAGUUACGUGUUUUAGCAUCUAACAUCCCUCUCUGAAGUCUAGAUCUAAAUUUGGGUUGCCCGUCUAAUGCUCCAUCGAGGGUUGCUAGGGGCGGUUGAGGAUCUAGAAGAGCACAUCUAGGUCAUUGGGGUCUAGGUUGGCAUGGGUCUAGGUUGCUAGUCUAAUGCUCCACUGAAUGUUGCGCAAGGUUUGUUGAUGAUGGCUAAGGUUGUCUGAUGGUUUGGGUUUGCUUGUUUGGGUCGAUGAUUGUGUGUUUAGGUCGCCUAUUUGUAUGCUCUAACGAGGGUCAUCAAGGGAGGCCGAGGGUCUCCAAGGAUUUGGGUUGACGAUCGCGUAGUUUAGGUUGUCGAGGUCAUGCGACCCUCAGGGUCUCCUAGCUUAGGCUACCCGAGGUUGCUUCACCUCGGUGUCACCUUGCAUGACCACUUCGACGAUUCAAUUGUUGCUGACAUUCAAUUUGCUUCCCAAGUUUGCUCCCAAGAUGAGAUAUCUCUACUCUCCAGUAGUUAUAUAGUUUAUUUUUUUUCGUUCUUUUUUCUACCUUCGAAGUUACAUUGCAAAAAUAUCAUGAAAGUCAUUUAACCAAACAAUAUUUACUUUGAGUCAAAGAUUCAUGGGGCAAUGACUUUGCAUUCUCUCAAAACUCUCCCAAACACGCAUUUUGAGUUACAGUGAUUGGUUUCAAGUUGGGUAGAUUUUAGACCUCAAAUCUGAAAUCUAAUCUAUUAGAACCGAUUCCAAGUUUUUGGAACCUAAAACCUAUUUUGUAUGUCUUGGAACCUGUCAUUCUUUUGUUCUUUUUUUUUUAGGUUCACUUUUUAUAGCAAAAAAAUAUAAGUAAUAAAAUGGUUCAAAGUAAAAGAUGACUAAGGGUGAAGGAGCAAAGGUGAGUUAGGAACGAGCGAGUGUGAGCCGUGAGUGAGCGAGGAGGAGGGUGAGUCGCCAGCAAGCGAGAGAGAAUUGCGAAAUGUUUGAGUAAGGUUGAAGAGAACAGAGAAAAAAGAGAUAGAAAAAUAUGUUAAGAGAAAAAUUGGGGUUUCUAAACUUUAUGAAACUUGUACCAAAUUUGAUUCAAUGACAUAUGGUUCUUCUUAACUGACCAAAAAAAGAAAAAAAGAAAAAAAAAAGACAUAUGGUUCUUCAGUUGAAAUUGCAAACAAGAUUGGUUCGAACGACUGAUGAUCCGGUUCUCGAAUAGAACUGGCCCGACAACAGAGCUCUACUAACAAACCCUAGUUUCAUAAAAAUCCUAGUAUCGUAAUGUCAUUUGCCCAGUAUUUACCUAGUAUGAGAUGAUUAUAUUUUUUUAGCAAGAGGAAUUCCUUUAAUCGCAUCUUUUGAUUAGUGGCAAAUAAACUUGAUUUAUAUUCAUGAUUUAGGAUCCAUCGAAUUUAAUUGGACAAAAUCUUAUUUAAUCAAGAAUAGAGGAAAUUAAGGGCGGUCGCAAAAUAGAAAUAGAAUUCGUCAUCAUCGUAAUGUGACGGACCAAGUGUUUCCAGAUAGACCUCCGGGGUUCGCCAUUUCGCUCGAACGUUCGUCCACCGACACUCAGAAAGACCGCGAAGGUACGAGAAUGAUCCUCUCUUUCCUAUUUAACUCCCAACUUGUCUUCCAGGCUCCAUCGUCAAACGGUAGCAAUUCUCAUCGUCUAUCUCAAGCAUUCUAUCGAACACUUUCUCCGCUCAGUCUCGCAUUUUCACCAGUAAACCCAACAACCAUGUCGCUCAUCCCAAGCUGGUUCGGCGGCCGCCGCAGCAAUGUCUUCGACCCUUUCUCCCUCGACCUCUGGGACCCCUUCAAGGAUUUCCCUUUCCCUUCCUCCUCCCUCUCCGCCUCUAAUUUCCCUCAAACCAUCCGAGAAAAUACUGCUUUUGUGAACACGAGGAUCGACUGGAGGGAGACCCCGGAGGCCCACGUGUUUAAGGCGGAUCUCCCAGGGCUCAAGAAGGAGGAAGUCAAGGUGGAGAUCGAGGACGAUCGGGUGCUCCAGAUAAGCGGCGAGAGGAACGUGGAGAAGGAGGACAAGAACGACACCUGGCACCGGGUGGAGAGGAGCAGCGGGAAGUUCAUGAGGAGGUUCAGGGUGCCGGAGAACGCGAGGAUGGAUCAGGUGAAGGCCUCGAUGGAGAAUGGG
rnacentral:lncRNA from 1 species